UACUACAUUUCCACUUAGAACUUUCUAUUAAGUUCAAAUGUGACUAGCAUAGGUACACUGUGCCUCUUUAAUAGACCACUUCAUGUUUGUCACUAUAGAUUGAAGAAGUGCAAAAAUAUGCUCCAAAGAAGAAUAUUUUUUAGUUGAAGAAGUAAAAAAAGUGAAGUAUUAGUUUUCCCCUAAAUUUUAAAUCAAUUGAGAGGACAAAGUGCGAAAUGAUUUAAUAGUCACCAGACAAAUGCAAAAUGAAUAAUCAUUCUCUCAUGGUAGGUGCAUAGCAGUCUUGAGUUACUGACUGAGAACCACUAUUUACGAGUCCAUGACCAUAGAUACUAUCAUGGCAUCUAGUGUAGCAAGAUAGAUACUAUCAUGGCAU
rnacentral:lncRNA from 1 species